AUUGAACGCUGGCGGCAGGCCUAACACAUGCAAGUCGCGCGAGAGGCGGACGGGUGAGUAAUGUCUGGGAAACUGCCUGAUGGAGGGGGAUAACGACUGGAAACGGGAGCUAAUAUCGCAUACCAUCAGAUGUGCCCAGAUGGGAUUAGCUAGUAGGUGGGGUAACGGCCCACCUAGGCGACGAUCCCCAGCUGGUCUGAGAGGAUGACCAGCCACACUGGAACUGAGACACGGUCCAGACUCCUACGGGAGGCAGCAGUGGGGAAUAUUGCACAAUGGGCGCAAGCCUGAUGCAGCCAUGCCGCGUGUGUGAAGAAGGCCUGCGGGUUGUAAAGCACUUUCAGCGGGGAGGCGUUACCCGCAGAAGAAGCACCGGCUAACUCCGUGCCAGCAGCCGCGGUAAUUC
rnacentral:rRNA from 1 species